UACGGAGGGUGCGAGCGUUGUCCGGAAUCACUGGGCGUAAAGGGCGCGUAGGUGGCGCGGGCAGUCAACGGUGAAAGUUCGGGGCUCAACCCUGAAUCGGCCGUCGAUACUCCCGGGCUUGAGCACUGUAGAGGCAGAUGGAAUUCCGGGUGUAGCGGUGGAAUGCGUAGAGAUCCGGAAGAACACCGGUGGCGAAGGCGGUCUGCUGGGCAGUAGCUGACACUGAGGCGCGACAGGGGGAGCAAACAGG
rnacentral:rRNA from 1 species